GGAAGUUUAGCUCAGUUGGGAGAGCGUCUGCCUUACAAGCAGAGGGUCACAGGUUCAAGUCCUGUAACUUCCA
rnacentral:tRNA from 5 species